GUACACUCCUACGGGAGGCAGCAGUGAGGAAUAUUGGACAAUGGGUGGAAGCCUGAUCCAGCCAUCCCGCGUGCAGGAAGACGGCCCUAUGGGUUGUAAACUGCUUUUAUCUGGGGAUAAACCUACUUACGUGUAAGUAGCUGAAGGUACCAGAAGAAUAAGCACCGGCUAACUCCGUGCCAGCAGCCGCGGUAAUACGGAGGGUGCAAGCGUUAUCCGGAUUUAUUGGGUUUAAAGGGUCCGUAGGCGGACUGAUAAGUCAGUGGUGAAAUCCGACAGCUUAACUGUCCAACUGCCAUUGAUACUGUUAGUCUUGAGUAAGGUUGAAGUGGCUGGAAUAAGUAGUGUAGCGGUGAAAUGCAUAGAUAUUACUUAGAACACCAAUUGCGAAGGCAGGUCACUAAGUCUUAACUGACGCUGAUGGACGAAAGCGUGGGGAGCGAACAGGAUUAGAAACCCCGGUAGUCCCAU
rnacentral:rRNA from 1 species